CGCCUAAUACAUGCAAGUCGAACGAAGUAGCAAUACUUAGUGGCAGACGGGUGAGUAACAUGUGGGUAUCUUCCCUUUGGUGAGGAAUAACACGAGGAAACUUGUGCUAAUACCUCAUAAGUCUUUACGGAGAAAGCUUUAUGCGCCAUUGGAUGAGCCCGCACUUGAUUAGUUUGUUGGUGGGGUAAUGGCCUACCAAGACUUUGAUCAAUAGCUGAUUUGAGAGGAUGAUCAGCCACAUUGGGACUGAGACACGGCCCAAACUCCUACGGGAGGCAGCAGUAGGGAAUCUUGCACAAUGGAGGAAACUCUGAUGCAGCGAUGCCGCGUGAGUGAAGAAGGCCCUUGGGUUGUAAAGCUCUUUCGUCGGGGAAGAAAAUGACUGUACCCGAAUAAGAAGGUCCGGCUAACUUCGUGCCAGCAGCCGCGGUAAUACGAAGGGACCUAGCGUAGUUCGGAAUUACUGGGCUUAAAGAGUUCGUAGGUGGUUAAAAAAGUUGGUGGUGAAAUCCCAGAGCUUAACUCUGGAACUGCCAUCAAAACUUUUUAGCUAGAGUAUGAUAGAGGAAAGCAGAAUUUCUAGUGUAGAGGUGAAAUUCGUAGAUAUUAGAAAGAAUACCGAUUGCGAAGGCAGCUUUCUGGAUCAUUACUGACACUGAGGAACGAAAGCAUGGGUAGCGAAGAGGAUUAGAUACCCUCGUAGUCCAUGCCGUAAACGAUGUGUGUUAGACGUUGGAAAUUUAUUUUCAGUGUCGCAGCGAAAGCAAUAAACACACCGCCUGGGGAGUACGAC
rnacentral:rRNA from 1 species